AACGAACGCUGGCGGCGUGCCUAACACAUGCAAGUCGAACGAACCGGGGCAACUCGGUGAGUGGCGCACGGGUGAGUAACACGUGGGUAACCUACCCCAGAGUAUGGAAUAACCUUUCGAAAGGAGGGCUAAUACCGUAUACAGACCCCAAACGCAAGUUUGGUGUCCAAAGGGGGCGCAAGCGCUCGCUUUUGGAUGGGCCCGCGUCCCAUUAGCUAGUUGGUGAGGUAACGGCUCACCAAGGCGACGAUGGGUAGCUGGUCUGAGAGGACGACCAGCCACACUGGAACUGACACACGGUCCAGACUCCUACGGGAGGCAGCAGUGGGAAUAUUGCGCAAGGGGGGAAACCCUGACGCAGCGACGCCGCGUGGGUGAUGAAGGCCUUCGGGUUGUAAAGCCCUGUCAGCUGGGAAAAAAAAUUACGUGCUAAUACCACGUAACUUGAUUGUACCAGCAGAGGAAGCACCGGCUAACUCUGUGCCAGCCGCCGCCGUAA
rnacentral:rRNA from 1 species